GGUUAAGCGACUAAGCGUACACGGUGGAUGCCCUGGCAGUCAGAGGCGAUGAAGGACGUGCUAAUCUGCGAAAAGCGCCGGCGAGGUGAUAUGAACCCUUGACCCGGCGAUGUCCGAAUGGGGAAACCCAGUGCAAUUCGUUGCACUAUCGUUAACUGAAUACAUAGGUUAACGAGGCGAACCGGGGGAACUGAAACAUCUAAGUACCCCGAGGAAAAGAAAUCAACCGAGAUUCCCCCAGUAGCGGCGAGCGAACGGGGAGCAGCCCGGAGUCUGAAUCAGCUUGUGUGUUAGUGGAACGGUCUGGAAAGUCCGACGGUACAGGGUGAUAGUCCCGUACACGAAAGCACACAUGCUGUGAACUCGAAGAGUAGGGCGGGACACGUGGUAUCCUGUCUGAAUAUGGGGGGACCAUCCUCCAAGGCUAAAUACUCCUGACUGACCGAUAGUGAACCAGUACCGUGAGGGAAAGGCGAAAAGAACCCCGGCGAGGGGAGUGAAAAAGAACCUGAAACCGUGUACGUACAAGCAGUGGGAGCCUCUUUAUGGGGUGACUGCGUACCUUUUGUAUAAUGGGUCAGCGACUUAUAUUCUGUAGCAAGGUUAACCGUAUAGGGGAGCCGAAGGGAAACCGAGUCUUAACUGGGCGUUAAGUUGCAGGGUAUAGACCCGAAACCCGGUGAUCUAGCCAUGGGCAGGUUGAAGGUUGGGUAACACUAACUGGAGGACCGAACCGACUAAUGUUGAAAAAUUAGCGGAUGACCUGUGGCUGGGGGUGAAAGGCCAAUCAAACCGGGAGAUAGCUGGUUCUCCCCGAAAGCUAUUUAGGUAGCGCCUCGUGAACUCAUCUUCGGGGGUAGAGCACUGUUUCGGCUAGGGGGCCAUCCCGGCUUACCAACCCGAUGCAAACUACGAAUACCGAAGAAUGUUAUCACGGGAGACACACGGCGGGUGCUAACGUCCGUCGUGAAGAGGGAAACAACCCAGACCGCCAGCUAAGGUCCCAAAGUCAUGGUUAAGUGGGAAACGAUGUGGGAAGGCACAGACAGCCAGGAUGUUGGCUUAGAAGCAGCCAUCAUUUAAAGAAAGCGUAAUAGCUCACUGGUCGAGUCGGCCUGCGCGGAAGAUGUAACGGGGCUAAACCAUGCACCGAAGCUGCGGCAGCGACACUAUGUGUUGUUGGGUAGGGGAGCGUUCUGUAAGCCGUUGAAGGUGUGCUGUGAGGCAUGCUGGAGGUAUCAGAAGUGCGAAUGCUGACAUAAGUAACGAUAAAGCGGGUGAAAAGCCCGCUCGCCGGAAGACCAAGGGUUCCUGUCCAACGUUAAUCGGGGCAGGGUGAGUCGACCCCUAAGGCGAGGCCGAAAGGCGUAGUCGAUGGGAAACAGGUUAAUAUUCCUGUACUUGGUGUUACUGCGAAGGGGGGACGGAGAAGGCUAUGUCAGCCGGGCGACGGUUGUCCCGGUUUAAGCAUGUAGGCGGAGGUUCCAGGUAAAUCCGGUACCUUAUUAACGCUGAGGUGUGAUGACGAGGCACUACGGUGCUGAAGUGAUAAAUGCCCUGCUUCCAGGAAAAGCCUCUAAGCAUCAGGUAACACGAAAUCGUACCCCAAACCGACACAGGUGGUCAGGUAGAGAAUACCAAGGCGCUUGAGAGAACUCGGGUGAAGGAACUAGGCAAAAUGGUGCCGUAACUUCGGGAGAAGGCACGCUGAUGUGUAGGUGAAGCCCCUGCGGGCGGAGCUGAAAUCAGUCGAAGAUACCAGCUGGCUGCAACUGUUUAUUAAAAACACAGCACUGUGCAAACACGAAAGUGGACGUAUACGGUGUGACGCCUGCCCGGUGCCGGAAGGUUAAUUGAUGGGGUUAGCGGCAACGCGAAGCUCUUGAUCGAAGCCCCGGUAAACGGCGGCCGUAACUAUAACGGUCCUAAGGUAGCGAAAUUCCUUGUCGGGUAAGUUCCGACCUGCACGAAUGGCGUAAUGAUGGCCAGGCUGUCUCCACCCGAGACUCAGUGAAAUUGAACUCGCUGUGAAGAUGCAGUGUACCCGCGGCAAGACGGAAAGACCCCGUGAACCUUUACUAUAGCUUGACACUGAACACUGGUCCUUGAUGUGUAGGAUAGGUGGGAGGCUUUGAAGCGUGGACGCCAGUCUGCGUGGAGCCAACCUUGAAAUACCACCCUUUAAUGGCUGGUGUUCUAACGUAGACCCGUAAUCCGGGUUGCGGACAGUGUCUGGUGGGUAGUUUGACUGGGGCGGUCUCCUCCCAAAGAGUAACGGAGGAGCACGAAGGUUGGCUAAUCCUGGUCGGACAUCAGGAGGUUAGUGCAAUGGCAUAAGCCAGCUUGACUGCGAGCGUGACGGCGCGAGCAGGUGCGAAAGCAGGUCAUAGUGAUCCGGUGGUUCUGAAUGGAAGGGCCAUCGCUCAACGGAUAAAAGGUACUCCGGGGAUAACAGGCUGAUACCGCCCAAGAGUUCAUAUCGACGGCGGUGUUUGGCACCUCGAUGUCGGCUCAUCACAUCCUGGGGCUGAAGUAGGUCCCAAGGGUAUGGCUGUUCGCCAUUUAAAGUGGUACGCGAGCUGGGUUUAGAACGUCGUGAGACAGUUCGGUCCCUAUCUGCCGUGGGCGCUGGAGAAUUGAGGGGGGCUGCUCCUAGUACGAGAGGACCGGAGUGGACGCAUCACUGGUGUUCGGGUUGUCAUGCCAAUGGCACUGCCCGGUAGCUAAAUGCGGAAGAGAUAAGUGCUGAAAGCAUCUAAGCACGAAACUUGCCCCGAGAUGAGUUCUCCCUGAGACCUUGAGUCUCCUGAAGGAACGUUGAAGACGACGACGUUGAUAGGUCGGGUGUGUAAGCGCAGCGAUGCGUUGAGCUAACCGAUACUAAUGAACCGUGAGGCUUAACCUU
rnacentral:rRNA from 1 species